rnacentral:rRNA from 2 species
AGCAGCCGCGGUAAUUCCAGCUCCAAUAGCGUAUAUUAAAGUUGUUGCAGUUAAAAAGCUCGUAGUUGAAUUUCGGGAUCAAUGUUUCGGUCAUGCCCUUGGUAUGUACUGAUAUUAUUGGUUUCUCACCUUCUAAAGAACCGUAAUGCCAUUAAUUUGGUGUCACGGGGAAUUAGGACUGUUACCUUGAAAAAAUUAGAGUGUUUAAAGCAGGCUCACGCUUGAAUACAUUAGCAUGGAAUAAUGAAAUAGGACAUCCGAUUCUAUUUUGUUGGUUUCUAGGAUCGAUGUAAUGAUUAAUAGGGAUAGUUGGGGGCAUUAGUAUUCAAUUGUCAGAGGUGAAAUUCUUGGAUUUAUUGAAGACUAACUACUGCGAAAGCAUUUGCCAAGGAUGUUUUCAUUAAUCAAGAACGAAAGUUAGGGGAUCGAAGACGAUCAGAUACCGUCGUAGUCUUAACCAUAAACUAUGCCGACUAGGGAUCGGAUGAUGUUAAUUUUUUAAUGACUCA